ACCUUGUAUCUGUGGGAUGUACGGCGCCAACAGCUUGCCUCUUUUCUUCUCAUAGCCUUUCUGAGUGAUGUCCCCUUCAGUCAGCUCUCAGCUCCA